rnacentral:lncRNA from 1 species
GGGAUGUGAGCCUGUGCUCUCAGGAGGGAGGGGACCUGGAGACACGGCUGGAGGGAGUUCUUCCGUGCAGCCCUUGGUGGUUGUACCGUACUUAAAGAGGUGGUUAAUAAGUGUCGUGCUGGAGCGAGGGAGUGCGUCACUGCAGUGUGUUUGGACAGGAGCUCGUAGGAGUAAACGUGGUCUGAGUUGCCUUUUUAUUGGAAGUAUCAAGGGAAAAAGUCAAUGAUGUUGUUGUUCUGAAGUUUCUUGUUGGGCUUCUCCUGUUUCCCCAUCCCUGGAAGUGCCCAAGGCCACGGAUGGGGCCCUGGGAAGCCUGACCUGGUGGGGAGCACCCAACCCGUGGUUGGGAAUGGGUGAUCUUUCAGGUCCUUUCCAAACCAACCAUUCUGUGAUUCAUUCUAUGAGCCACUGGCCCGUCCUUAUUGCCAUGAAGACUGAAAGGAAAAAAAAAACAACCCAAACCCUUCCUUUUAAUUCAGGCCACAAUGAUUAGUUUCGUUUUUGCUCCACUGAACCAUGAGUGCAUCCCUGUCUGUACGGAUUCCAUUGGAGCAGUGGCACUGCUCUGUGCCUUCCUGCUUGCUCUUGUUGGAGGCACCCUGAGCCUGUCUGGCUCAGGGAUGGAGCGGUGGGUCUUCCUCUGCUGGCUCUCCCGUGGUGUCUGUAGGGCUGUGCUUCAGGCAGAGAUGCUUCUCAGGCUGCUGGGAGGUUGGUGUUGCAGGCAGGUUGGGGCUGAUGGAUGAGCGUCCUCUUGCAGAGGAGGCCCAUUGCAACACAUCUCAGUGAACCUGCUGAUCCUCGCUCCUCCUCGUCCGUGUGAUCAGCCACAGCCUUAACUUGGUUCACGUAGAGGCAUUUGGACUUCUGCCUGAGCUGUAGGUGCCGUUUGCUCUUAGCUUUGAAGAGCAUCUUUUGGAUGAUAGAUGUGAAUUUCGUGCUGACGUUUGGCUUAUUCUGCAGUCAGGUGGGUCCGAUCCUGCCCACAAAAGCAGCACUUUGUAUCUGUGCUCACCUCUGUGCCUCCUUUCUGCUGUCACUCAGGCUGACAGUGCUGGUGGACGCAGUUGCUGAUCUCUGGGUGUUACAUCUGUCCUGCUCUGCAGCAUCAGCACUUACACUGUGACCCAUCCCAGCUUCGCGGCUCCCUUGGUGGCAAUGGAGUGUUUUCAGUUUUUAGACUUUUCUGCUGAGGAAUUAUCAGAAAAGCAAUAGAAAAAAGAAAAAAAGUGAGACUGUUGUCCUAUGAAUGAUGUUUCUUGCCCUGCAGUCCCAGAAGUGGUAAAGCCAGAAGAGGUGCAGGGAGCAGAAAGGAGCUUGGUGGGAGGUGUGCAGCACCUUUUGCACAAGGAAAAUCCAGGUUUGCUCAAAAUUGAUGUGGGCUUAGAAAAGAAAUGGACCUAUUCGUGGCGUGUGUGUGUGUGUAAAGGCGCUGUCUGUGGCUGAGAUGAGGCUGUGCUGCCUGUCCUGGCAGAGACCUGGAGGAGAAGUGCUGUGCUGGACUUCGUGUGGUUGCACUCUUCCCUACGAGCAGAGGUGAGGGCCGGAGGUGUGCAGGUGGGAAACGGGCACCACACCUCUAACGCUGCCCAAGGAGCUGCUGGGGACUGCCACCUGGGGAGGAGGGAGCAGAAAAGGUCCUGUGGUGCUUCCCAUUGCAGCCACCCCCAGCAGAUCUCCUCCCGUGGUGCAGAUGGAGCUGAUGCACGCUGGCAGCACAGGGAUGUGUUGUUACGGAGCCACCCAGGGGACGGCACAGGGUGCCGUGUUCUGGGCAGGGAGAGCUGCGUUGCUCGGUCCCAGUGGUGAUCCUGCACGCACAUCUCAUACAGGAGGACGUUGCUGGGGGAUAUGACUGCUGUGUGGGCGCAAACAGAUCCUCCAGCAGAGGAGUGAGGAUCUCCAUGUUACGCAAGGUGGGCAAUUACUGAAAUGUGUGCGUAGGGGAGGCGCAGGAGAGUAAUAGAUGGGGAUCACAUAGAGAAGCAUGAAUGAGAGCACGCAGUCAUUGUUAGCAUGCUCAGCCGGAGCAGGUUUGUUUUCAAGGGUGCAAGCAGGAUUUUGGGAAAGGCAGUGGUGCUGCUUUCGAAGUGAAGGAGUGGAGGGGUGGCAUUGUUGCCUUCAGGACCGGCACUUCUCACGUCCCUUUCUGAUGCUGCUUUGCUCUGCAUCCGAUGAGAGGAUCCGUCUGCCUCUGGUGCUGCUGAGUGACACUGCUGUGCUUCCUUGGACUCUUCCUUCCUUGGCUGGAGAGGUGAAUGUGUGUUUCUCUCUUCCCAGCAGUGCUCAACUGCCUGCUGUCUGCUGCUGCUCCUCUUUAUUUGUCCCAUGUGGAAUGUUGUCUGUACUGAGUCUGGGUUUUGCACGAUGGUGGCUGAACUCUGCUUGCUUGAAGUGAUGGAUGAAAUCAAUGCUGGGAGCAUCUGCUGCCUUGCUGCAGGGAUUUGCUGCCAGGUUUAAUCAUAGAAUUGCUCAGGUUGGAAAAGCCCUCUAAGAUCACUGAGUCCAACCACAACCCAACCAUCCUACCCCAACUCCAACAGCCCUCCGCUCAAUCAUGUCCCUGAGCACCACAUCCAGACGGCUGUUAAACACAGCCAGGGAUGGUGACCCAACCACCUCCUUAUCUCCCGGGUGAUAUGGGUGGUUUAAUAGAAGGCGAUAGGUUUUAUAUGAGCUGUUCCCUGUGCUCCUCACUGGUGCCUGAGAUCCAGAGGAGAUCUGCCUUGCUCUGUGCUGACUUCUGCUCUGCCUUGCUGGCGUAGUCCACAGUGUGGAGUUUGGAGGUGCUGAUAUCACCAGAAAGGGUUGAAUCAUAGCGUGUCUCCAGUUGGAAGGGACCCAUAAGGGCCGCCCAAAAUGAAGGUAGUGCGGCAUUCAGACCGUUGGAGCUGGUGGAUGGAGCAGAGUGUGGUCGGUGGGGAUCUGCUGUCAGAGCCUGGAUUUGGACUCAGGGAUCCUUAUGGGUCGGUGAUAUUCUGUGAUUCAUUCCUUUCUGGUGGGUUUGGCACCUCUGAACUGCUCGCUGUGGACUGUGUGGGUCCGGUGUCUUCUGCCGAGGAGUGCUCAGGUUUGGGGCAUGGGGAGGCACCGGGGGAGGUCAGGAGACACCUGGGUGGAGCGGAGGUUGGGACCUGGUGGAGGAGGAGGAGGAGGAGGUGGAGCUGAGCAGGGACUGCAGAUAAUGAGCGAGGUGGUGGGCUGGGAGGAGGCCUCGUGUCGGCAGCAGCAUGCAGCGGGACGUGGGGACCGGGGGCUGGAGGGACACCUGGACAGGAAGAGCUGUGAGUUGGGGCGGGGGGAAAGAGGACCUAUAUGGCUGUUUGAUGGGGUCCCAUGGGCUGUUUGAUGGGGGUCCCAUGGCUGUUUGAUGGGGUCCCAUGGCUGUUUGAUGGGGUCCCGAGGGUUCUGAGCAGUGGUGGUUCUGGAGAGGUGUGCCCUGGGGAUGAUGUCUGAUUGAGGGCACGCGGUUUCCCCGCUUUGCUUCAUCCUUACCAAAACUGCCCUGGUCAGCUGUGUGAUGCAGGAGACGUUUUGUUUCCUGCUGCGUGAUGAGCUGUUUCCAUCGCACACUGAGGAGCAGAGGAGGUGCACGCCUGGCUGGAGCAGCACAGAGGAGGGCAGCCCUGCAGCCCCCGUCCUGUUGCUGUUUGCACGGUCUCAGCCUUGGCUGGCAGAGGGCUCCCGGCUCCUCCUGCUGGGCCGCAGUUUGCCCGGGGUGAGAGCAUUGCUGCCCUUUGUCCGGAGCAGGACCAAACCUGAGAGCUGUGUUUGUCACUUUCCCAAGACGAGGUGGGGCCUCCGAGCCUAAUUAAGCUUUUAAUUUUCUGGCAUCUGUGGCUUGCAAGGAGGAUGGCGUCUUUUAUUUACUUGCAUGGCGGAGUGGAGCUGCUCCUUUUAAUCUGACCGUGCUAAUUGCCCUCCCCUGAGAAAGCUGGGAGCCAUGAAUCACCCGUUGGUGAUGGACCUGCCCAGCGAGACCCAGCACACUCAGUGCCCAGCAAGGGCUGCAGUGGGCACCGCUGUGUCAUGGCCGUGUCGGAUCUGCACGCUGCGUUGGUUAGCAGAACCAGCCAGCAAACUGGUUUGGCUUGAUUGUUACCUGUGCACAGGGCUGGCACUGCUCCGUGCCUUUCAGGAGCUGUAUAGUUAAUGUGUACACAUGGAUGUGGGUUUGGUGCUCUG